AUUUUUUUUUUUUUUUUUUUUUUUUUUUUUUGUAU
rnacentral:ribozyme from 14 species